rnacentral:lncRNA from 1 species
AGACAUAUUUUCAUAAAAGAAAGAGAGGUAUCAGAUGAGGAAGAACUAAGAGCAGUACAAAUCAGGGGAAUAGAGAAGAGAGGUUUGAAGUGAGAAAAGAGCAAGAGAGUAAUAUAAUAUUUUGAAACAACAGAAAACUUAAACCUCAAAAUCGCCGCCGAAUACCUUUAAUUAUAAGGGUCUUGGCACCAGAACCGAAAAUAGUUCAUCAUUACUAGCAUCGCAACUGAAGUGGCAGGUUCAAUUAGAGGUCACAUACGAAAGGAAGCAACGAAUCGGGAAUAUGCAUCAUAAUGACAUCAUGACAUCAUCCUAACUUGUGGACAACAUAACUCUAACAAAUCGCCCGAAAAAAUCGAAGUGUUUGGAAGGAGCGGCCUGCCUAGGGCCACGUUGCCAGUUCUCUAUAACCACCAUGACCUGUAUAGCUCACUCAAUCUUUUAACCAUAACGAACAACAUCCGCUUAUCGAACCUGCCUGAAGCCGGCCUCAAUAAGCGGAAGGAUUAAUUGUAUGGGUCAAAAUCUAUUUGUAAAAUAUUUAAGUCAAAAUAGUACUAAUGGAAGAGUUCUCAAGUCAUCAUUUGCGAAAUAGCCCAAGAAGCAGCGAAUUCUGUGGUCCAAGAGUCAACGAGAGCCAUAGUCGAGGUGUCGACAAGGGUCAAGGUCGAGGUCGAGUACGUUGAUAGGGUUGUAACGACUAGUUUUCAAGACAUAAUAUUAAAAAGAAUAUUCUAGCGAAUAUUCUCUAUACUGGUACUAUUAGGAUCUCUUAGGAACAUGUCCCAUAUAAAUAA